rnacentral:rRNA from 1 species
UACGGGGGGGGCAAGCGUUGUUCGGAAUUACUGGGCGUAAAGGGCGCGUAGGCGGCCCCUUUUGUCGCGUGUGAAAGCCCGGGGCUCAACCCCGGAGGUGCAUCCGAAACUCUGGGGCUGGAGGUCGGAAGAGGAGGGUGGAAUACCCAGUGUAGAGGUGAAAUUCGUAGAUAUUGGGUGGAACACCGGUGGCGAAAGCGGCUCUCUGGUCCGGACCUGACGCUGAGGCGCGAAAGCGUGGGGAGCAAACAGG